rnacentral:sRNA from 1 species
UUAAAUCUGUUGGCUGCAAUAACUUUUGU